rnacentral:misc_RNA from 1 species
GCCCAUGUCCUCCAAUCGCUUGUUGACGGUGGGGUUGUGGAUGAUCUCGUUGGUGAGCCAGAUGCGAUCGUCGGGGAACUGCUUGCGCGCCUCGUAGGCGAUCUGCACGGCGCGCUCGACGCCCCAGCAGAAGCCGUACGCCUCCGCCAGCUUCACCGUCACGGGGCCCCACGUGUGCUGGUUCCCGUUCUCCUUGAGCGUCUUGAUCACGUCGCUGGUGUACUCCUGGCUCAUGAGCUCGAGCGUCUCCUUCUUGUGGCCGAAGCCCUUGCGGUUGUAGUUGUCGCUG